UUUUGUUGAAACUUUGCUUCUAUUUUAAGGAAAAUAAGAAGCAAACUGUAGAGUGUGUAGACCAUGCACAUUCCAGACAAAGAGUUAUCUUUCUCUUCCGAAAGUUAGUUAUGGAGUCAAAUAUACAUUCUAAAACAGCUCGUAAGUCAUAGCAGGUGAUGUGUUGUCUGUCAUAGUGUGUUUGCCUGAGGACCGUUAGCCUCAAGGAUUUAGAAAAUGUAACGUUGUCUGUUGCAUGGAGAUGUGAAGCACUGCACAGCAGAAUACAGUGAUCAACUAAAAGCAGCAAAGGCUGAAAUAUUCAUGCAUAUAACAUAAGGCUCUGGUUGUCAAUGUGAUUCUCAUUUCAACACCAGGAUGCCAUGGAGAGCUCACAGUCUAGGCCUGCUGUUGACAGGCUGUUGGACUCCGCCGACCUGAGGAGUGGAGCUGGACUCCAGAGACCUCAGGAAUCGGCCAGCCUCACAUUCUCCUACCUUCAAGGCACCCACCCAGGGGAGCUUCCACCUAUCUCAGGUACUGCUUCCUGAAUGCCAUGAUGGGGACAAUGAAGAUGAUGACGAUGGAGUAGAUGAGCCCGAUGAUGCCAGGCAUUCGUUGGGCUUAAGAGGAGGGCCUUGUGGGAAUGCAAGUGUUGCAGAGGCCUCAGACGGUACCAGUGAGGAUGACAACACUCCCCUUUCAACCUCCCUGGAACCCAAGUAUUUCUCCCAGAGCAUCCACCAGGACACAGAAGAUUCAGAUGAUGGGUGGAAUUAUUGCCUAGACAACCUGGAGCAGGAAUUUAAACAAGGUUGUCUUUAUCAGUGAUGUUAAGAUCUUUACCGAGUUAAUGCUCUGUUCUACAAUCUCAAUACAUAUUGAGGCUUGUUUCUUGGUGUAAGUGUAUGUAUAUACGUGUUAACAGCAUGGCUCUCCUCUUCAGGUGCACCUGCCACACAGUGUGGUUUACCAGAACGAUGAAGGACAGUGGGUGACUGACCUGGCACUCACAUAAUGAAUAAAACACUACAUUUAUAGCCAUGAGGUGGACACACAAGAUAUGUAUUUUAAUGCUUGUUGCACCAGCCGUGGUGUCUUGUUAAAAUACUAUUUAUUGUUGUUUAUUUCUGCUUGAUUGUCUAUAGAGUUUUGUCUCUUUUCUGGUUAAUUCUAGUAAAGCUAUGAUGAGGAAGUGUAUUGAUAUCAGCUGUAUGCACACACGCAGCACAGUGCCUUCUACAGCAGGAACUGUGUUUAUUUUUUUAUUUUUACUUGCACUUAUUUCAGACAUUAUCUUAAUAAGAAGUUUCUUAACCCCAAAGAAAAAAUGUCAUUUCUACUUGUAGUAUAUUUUAAAUGACCUCAAUUUUACUUAAGUAACAUUUUUUAUAAAUAAAAGUUGUUUACUUAGUAUAAUACUCACAAUUGAAAACAAUAUUAACCUCUUAGAGCAGGAAAGAUGCAGUAAAUGUAAAACUAAAGUCCAUUAAAGUCCACUGUGUAUUAAAGCAUUACAUUAGGCUUGUUAUUUUAUCCACAUAUAAGAGCCCGGAACAGCCGGCAGACUUCAGUCUCAGCUUCCUGCAUCUGAUCAAAUCACACCUGGUGUUUGCUUUCUACUCUGUCCUUUAAAAUCUGAUGCAACAUCCAGCAGUGUUCUCUGGAACUUUCCCAUUCAAUAAUCAUGCUUCCUUAAAUGUGAAACACAGAAAAGAGUUGACCCAGCCUUCGUGUAGUUCCAUAGAGUGAAUAUAUAUCAAUUGCAGUUCUACAUUUGACACUCAUACUCUGAUCAUUAGUUUCCAGUAAACCUGAAAAUCUAACUUCAGGUUGAACUGCUGCGUUUUGUCAAAUUCUCAGGGUUUACCUAUUGUAAUCAGAUCACCAUAUAUCAUCAAAUUGAUUCUGUUAUAAAAAAUAAAAUAUCACUCGUCA